rnacentral:rRNA from 1 species
UGGGGAAUAUUGCACAAUGGGCGCAAGCCUGAUGCAGCAACGCCGCGUGAGGGACGACGGCCUUCGGGUUGUAAACCUCUUUUGGCAGGGAAGAAGCGAAAGUGACGGUACCUGCAGAAAAAGCACCGGCUAACUACGUGCCAGCAGCCGAGGUGAUACGUAGGGUGCAAGCGUUGUCCGGAAUUAUUGGGCGUAAAGAGCUCGUAGGCGGUUUGUCGCGUCCGCUGUGAAAACCCGAGGCUCAACCUCGGGCCUGCAGUGGGUACGGGCAAACUAGAGUGCGGUAGGGGAGAUUGGAAUUCCGGGUGUAGCGGUGGAAUGCGCAGAUAUCAGGAGGAACACCGAUGGCGAAGGCAGAUCUCUGGGCCGUAACUGACGCUGAGGAGCGAAAGCAUGGGGAGCGAACA